GCUCCUGAGUAGCUGGGAUUACAGGCGCCCUCCACCACGCCCGGCGAAUUUUUGUAUCUUUAGUAGAGACAGGGUUUCACCACGUUGGCCAGGUUGGUCUUGAACUCCUGACCUCAUGAUCCGCCUGCCUCGGCCUCCCAAAGUGUUGGGAUUACAGGUGUGAGCCACCGCACCCGGCCUCUGAGAAAUAUUUAGAUUGUACGCCUCAAAUGGGCAGGGACUGUGUCUUACACUUUUGUAUUUAUGCUACAGCUUACCUAAUACAGUGCCAGGCCUCGUUAAACACUUAUUGAUUGCUCAGACGAUAAAGAACUUGCUUUGGAAGGAGGAGAGGAUAGUCAUGUGCUUCUGAAUGUAUUGAACUUCUUGAAAUCUCUUUCCUCAUCAAUUUUAGCAGAGUUUCUAUUGAAACUCCUAGGGUGUGUUUAUGGAAGACAAACUGAGAUGUGCUGUCCCAGCCUUAGGCCCUGGCAGUACGCCUUGCCUUUUCACGGCACACCCACUACAGCCUUUCCCACACUGUGACACUGGAGCUGGUGAGUCAAAUGCAUGGCAUGGGAAGCCCUCUCUAGGAGGAUGCUGUGGCCACACAAGUGCUGGACGAACCGCUGGAGUAGGUGACUUCCAAGGUGUCCUGAUGUAGUAGCUAUUAGACAAGCUCCUGCAUUUGGCCAGUAAUUAGCAUGCUGCUGCACAUUGCCACUAGGUGGUGCUGCUGCUCCAUUCCCAAGUAACCCACAUGCAUCCCUGGCUGGGGUCAGCCUUGGGGUUUCCCAAGUGUAGAGGAAUCCAUCUCUGUGCCUGUGGUAAUGGCUGGACACCAGGAGAGACCCAGAAAACAGGGAUAUCCUAGAAGAGAAAGGCAAAAUAAGCACUCAGAGCAGAGGACAUUUGAGUGUCAAUAAUGAAGGUGGCAGCAGUAAUCAUGGCUAUCAUUUACUAAAAAUAGUGGAUAUUGGCCAGACAUGGUGGCUCACACCUGUAAUCCCAGCAUUUUGGGAGACCAAGGUGGGUGGAUCACUUGAGGUCAGCAGUUCGAGACCAGCCCGGCCAACAUGGUGAAACUAUCUACUAAAAAUACAAAAAUUAGCCAGGUGUGGUGGUGCACGCCUGUAGUCCCAGCUACUUGGGAGGCUGAGGAAGGAGAAUCACUUGAACCUGGGAGGUGGAGGCUGUAGUGAGCUGAGAUCGCAUCACUGCACUCCAGCCUGGACAACAGAGCAAGACUGUCUCAAAAAAAAAAAGUAGAUACUGUGCUAGUCACUUGAUACACAUCAUCUCUGAUCUUUGCACUGAGCGAGGCAUGUGUAUUAUGUCUGCAUUACAAAAGGGGAAAAAUUAAGGUUCAAGAAGAUAAAGUCACCAGGCAUGGUGGCGCAUGCCUGUGAUCGCAGCACUUUAAGAGGCUGAGACAGGCGGAUUGGUUGAAUCCAGGAGUUCAAGACCAGCCUGGGCAACAUAGUGAGACCUCAUCUCUACAAAAAAAAUAAAAUUAGCUGGGUGUGGUGGUGUGUGCCUGUAGUCACAGCUCCUCGGGAGGCUGAUGUGGAAGGAUCACUUGAGCCCGGGAGAUAGAGGCUGCAGUGAGAUGAGACUGAGCCAUUGCACUCAGCCUAGGCAACAGAGUGAGACCCUGUCUCAAAACAAAACAGAAAUAACAAAAAAUAAGGUGACUUGCUGGAGGCCACAUGGCUGUGAGCCAAAUACAGGUCUGGGUUAUCAGGGCUCACAUACUUCUAAGUACACCCUACUGCCUUGGAAUCUGCUGAAGACCAAGCCCCUGCCCCCAAGCCAUGGCAAAGAAGGAGGGAAGGAAGCAAAGGUGCCCAGCGGGGACAACUCGGGGAGGGGCGAGGUGCCCAGGGCCCAGGAAGGCCAAGCAGCAUGUGGCAGGGCAGCAUCAGGUGACUCCCAAGAAGGAAUGAGGAGAGGAUAUGAGGAAAGAGCCACAGCACAGAGGCCUGCUGUUAGGUCAGCGGAGACCACGGCCCAUGGGACCUGGAUCUACCCUUGAUGCUAACAAUGUUCUUUGGGGAAAAAAUCUAUAAUCACAAAGUUUCUGCAACUGGACUGUAGUCAUGGUUGCAGAACUGUAUAGAUUUACUAGGAACCAUCAAAUUGUUCACUUACAAUGGGUAAAUUGUACAGUACAUAGGUUAUCCCUCAGUAAAGCUGUAUGAAAUUUAUAGUCAUGAAACUAAUAGUGACAAACGAGCUGGGUAAGUAGGUCUCAGCUGUUCUGUAGGCACUUUGAGAAGAGGAAGAGUAGCAUCUCGGUUUUAAUAAAAGAAAGCCUGGCCCAUGGCGUCCAGCUUCUGCUUGAAUACUUUCAGUGCCCGGGAGCUCAGUAUCUCAAAGCAGCCCACUCCUGUUUAAGAGAACUCUAAACCUUAGAAUGUUGAAAUACAUCAUUAUUAUUCUAGUACUGCUGUGAAAAAUAAAUGUCUUUGUUUUGCCA
ensembl:lncRNA LINC02210 long intergenic non-protein coding RNA 2210